GAUGAACGCUGGCGGCGUGCUUAACACAUGCAAGUCGAACGAAGCACUUUAACCUGAUUCUUCGGAUGAAGGUUUUUGUGCCUGAGUGGCGGACGGGUGAGUAACGCGUGGGUAACCUGCCUCAUACAGGGGGAUAACAGUUAGAAAUGACUGCUACUACCGCAUAAGACCACCGAGCCGCAUGGCUCGGUGGGAAAAAGUCCGGUGGGAUGAGAUGGACCCGCGUCUGAUUAGGUAGUUGGUGGGGUAACGGCCUACCCAGCCAACGAUCAGUAGCCGAGAUGGGAGGGUGACCGGCCACAUUGGGACUGGGACACGGCCCGAACUCCUACGGGAGGCAGCAGUGGGGAAUAUUGCACAAUGGGGGAAACCCUGAUGCAGCGACGCCGCGUGAGCGAAGAAGUAGUGCGGUAUGUGAAGCUCUAUCAGCAGGGAAGAAAAUGACGGUACCUAACUAAGAAGCACCGGCUAAAUACGUG
rnacentral:rRNA from 1 species